GUGGGAGUCAGCGUGGCAGUUUCAAUCGACUGUCGAAGUGAUGUUCAAGCAUGUAGGUGAAGGCCUUGGGAUGGGCUGCCGGAGAAGGUGAGAGUCCUGUAACCGAAAUGUGUUUGACCGCUUGUUGGCCACCCGAGUAGCACGGGGCUCGUGGAAUCUCGUGUGAAUCUGCCAGGACCACCUGGUAAGUCUAAAUACUUUCUAGUGACCGAUAGUGAAUCAGUACCGUGAGGGAAUGGUGAAAAGUACCCCGGGAGGGGAGUGAAAUAGUUCCUGAAACCAUGUGCUUACAAUCCGUCAGAGCACCGUGUGUGUGAUGGCGUGCCUUUUGAAGAAUGAGCCUGCGAGUUAGUGGUAUGUCGCGAGGUUAACCCGUGUGGGGUAGCCGUAGGGAAACCGAAUCCUAAUGGGGUGGCAAGUGGCAUGUCCUGGACCCGAAGCGGGGUGAUCUACCCAUGGCCAGUGUGAAGCAGCUGUAAGAGGUUGUGGAGGCGCGAACCCAC
rnacentral:misc_RNA from 1 species